GUUAUUUACUUGCCUUCUCCCUAUUCAUCUCAACUCCUUGCUUUCUUCAUCUUUUAACAUUAAUUCUAACAUCUAUUGGAGGAGUAAUGUAGGAGUACGACAAAACCGCUCUGGGCAGUAGGUCGAUGUUUGUUUCACGGCUGGUUGGUUUGAGUUCCGGUGUUCAACAGAAUCAGGAAUAUACUUUAACGAAGAUAAUAUAUAAACAUGCACUUGCUCUACAAUUAAUCAGCAGAGUUGUUGUCAGUGGAUGUACUCUGAAGAGAUCAAGAACUGAAUAUGGAAGAUAAAAUGGGUCUUGGCAGAUGCUAAAGGUCUAUCAUCUUCGGUCAACCAUUUCAAGAUGAACCCCAGGCUGAUUCCCAGGUUGAUCGUGACAAAUCCGAAACCAGAGAAGAACAGAAAUGGUGCACUUUCGAAAACGACACCAAGUAUACAGUGAUGAUUACUGAUAAGGAUGGGACCCGACCCUUGAAACCUGGAAAAUCAACAACGAACGUCGGCAUCCCUGGCUUUGAGAUGAUUCUUGUCCUGAAGCUACCGAAGAAAGACGCGAAGAUAGAAUUUCCCUUGAGUGGAUUUAAUAACUCCAGGCAGAAAAUUAGUCAGAUCUUUGCAAAUGAAAUCAAUCAGAAUUAACUCAAGCAGUGUUGAACUGUGGUCAGUGCAAGUAAAAAAAUAUUGCCAUGACUUCUUCAACUCGUGAAUCAAUAAAAGCAGAGUUUCUCAAUGGCAAAUAAUGCCAGAAUGGAACGGCUUGUUAGUUUGUUUAUUUCAUUUUGUAUAUUGAUUUGUUUUCUCAUUGUGUAAUUAUAACAUUGUACUCUGAUGUUAAACUAUGUAAUAGCGAAAAUCGAAGAAUCUUGGUGACGAAGGACUAAACGUCAAAUUGCAAAGUGCUCUGACUGCCUUUCUUUUUCUGCCGGUUAACUUUACAUCAAAGUUUCAACUUAACCUUUAACUCCAGAGCCUUUAGGAACUCUUGAGAUGGUAGAAUUUUGCGUUUCGAACACAAUUAAACCUGUCGCCUAAACUUGUUACUUUUUCUGAUACUCGGAAUGUUGUAAGCCAGAACACUUAGUUCACUUUCUCAUCAUCAUCAGAUUGUUAUCGCGUAUAGAGUUGGUUCUAAAAUUAACAACUGACAAAUCUAAAAGGUGCAAUAUGGUGGUUGAUGUUUUGAAAUAUAGUUCAAGUAUCGCUAAUUCGAAUUCUAUCUCAAUUUCAUCCGUAAAAAAAAAAUCAAAGGGCAGUGUAAACAUCAUUUGAAUAAAGGCUGAUAGUUUCGAAAGAA